rnacentral:rRNA from 1 species
UAUUAUUUUUGAUAUAAAUUAUUUUUAACUUAGGUAGUAUUAGUUAAGGUCUUGAAACUUAAAGAAUUUGGCGGUAUUUUAGUCUUUUUAGAGGAAUCUGUUCCUUAAUCGAUAAUCCACGUUGAACCUUACCAGUUUUAAUUUAGUAUGUAUACCGCCGUUAUAAUGAAAAUCUUUUUAGAGUUUAAUAAUUUUCUUAAUUUCUUUUAAAAAUUAUUUCAGGUCAAGGUGCAGCUUAUGAUUUGGUGGAAAUGGAUUACAUUUAUUUUGUUAACUGGAAUAUUAAUUGAAAUUUUAGUAUAAAAUUGGAUUUAAUUGUAAUUUUUUGUAGAUUAUAUAAAUGGCUUUAGCUCUAUAAUAUGUACACAUCGCCCGUCACUCUCAUUAUUUGUAGUUGAG